rnacentral:rRNA from 1 species
UACGUAGGGUGCAAGCGUUGUCCGGAAUUAUUGGGCGUAAAGAGCUCGUAGGCGGUUCGUCGCGUCGGCUGUGAAAACCCGAGGCUCAACCUCGGGCCUGCAGUCGAUACGGGCGGACUGGAGUUCGGCAGGGGAGACUGGAAUUCCUGGUGUAGCGGUGAAAUGCGCAGAUAUCAGGAGGAACACCGGUGGCGAAGGCGGAUCUCUGGGCCUUGCCUGACGCUGAGGCGCGAAAGCUAGGGGAGCGAACAGG